CGGGGUGCAGCAGGCGCGAAACCUCUGCAAUAGGCGAAAGCCUGACAGGGUUACUCUGAGUGACUUUCGUUAAGAGAGUCUUUUGGCACCUCUAAAAAGGGUGUAGAAUAAGGGGUGGGCAAGUCUGGUGUCAGCCGCCGCGGUAAUACCAGCACCCCGAGUGGUCGGGACGAUUAUUGGGCCUAAAGCAUCCGUAGCCGGUUCUGCAAGUCCUCCGUUAAAUCCAACUGCUUAACAGAUGGGCCGCGGAGGAUACUACAGAGCUAGGAGGCAGGAGAGGCAAGCGGUACUCAGUGGGUAGGGGUAAAAUCCGUUGAUCCAUUGAAGACCACCAGUGGCGAAGGCGGCUUGCCAGAAUGCGCUCGACGGUGAGGGAUGAAAGCUGGGGGAGCAAACCGGAUUAGAUACCCGGGUAGUCCCAGCCGUAAACGAUGCAGACUCGGUGAUGGGUUGGCUUCGUGCUAACCCAGUGCCGCAGGGAAGCCGUUAAGUCUGCCGCCUGGGUAGUACGGUCGCAAGACUGAAACUUAAAGGAAUU
rnacentral:rRNA from 1 species